rnacentral:rRNA from 1 species
AGGUUGAGAUUCCUGCACCCGUAAUGAACAGAACUGUAGUGACACGGAAGGUAAGACAGAGCCGGGAAUGAGAAAACCGGUGCAAGCACAAUAGAUGUGCGGGAGGAAAAACCCCCGUAUAAGUCGAAGGUGUGAUGCGGACCGAAAAAGAGUAGGGAAGCUGUUAAGCAAGCCGUCAAGAAAAGCUGCUAUUGUUUCAUUAUGGCCCGUACCGUAAACCGACACAGGUGGAUGGGGAGAGAAUCCUAAGGCCGGCGGAAGAAGUAUUGUUAAGGAACUCGGCAAAAUGACCCCGUAACUUCGGGAGAAGGGGUGCCUGCGAGAGCAGGCCGCAGAGAAGGGGCCCAAGCAACUGUUUAGCAAAAACACAGGUCUAUGCAAAACCGAAAGGUGAGGUAUAUGGGCUGACGCCUGCCCGGUGCUGGAAGGUUAAGGGGAGUGGUCAGGAAACGAAGCCACGAACAUAAGCCCCAGUAAACGGCGGCCGUAACCAUAACGGUCCUAAGGUAGCGAAAUUCCUUGUCGGGUAAGUUCCGACCCGCACGUAAGGCGUAAUGAUUUGGGCGCUGUCUCGACAAUACAUCCGGUGAAAUUGAAGUGCCAGUGAAGAUGCUGGCUACCUGCGCCAGGACGGAAAGACCCCAUGGAGCUUUACUCCAGCUUGAUACUGGGACCCGGUAUUGCAUGUACAGGAUAGGUGGGAGGCUAGGAAAUGUGGACGCCAGUCUGCAUGGAGCCGCUGUUGGGAUACCACCCUUGUGGUGCUGGGUUUCUAACCAGAGGCCGUGAACCGGUCUGGGGACAAUGUCAGGUGGGGAGUUUGACUGGGGCGGUCGCCUCCGAAAGGGUAUCGGAGGCGCCCAAAGGUUCCCUCAGAAUGGUUGGAAACCAUUCGAAGAGUGCAAAGGCAGAAGGGAGCUUGACUGCGACACCGACGGGUGGAGCAGGUACGAAAGUAGGGCUUAGUGAUCCGGUGGAAUUUAAGUGGGAAUGCCAUCGCUCAACGGAUAAAAGCUACCCUGGGAUAACAGGCUGAUCACUCCCAAGAGUUCACAUCGACGGAGUGGUUUGGCACCUCGAUGUCGGCUCAUCGCAUCCUGGGGCUGAAGUCGGUCCCAAGGGUUGGGCUGUUCGCCCAUUAAAGCGGUACGCGAGCUGGGUUCAGAACGUCGUGAGACAGUUCGGUCCCUAUCCGGCGUGGGCGUAGGAUAUCUGAGAGGAACUGUCCUUAGUACGAGAGGACCGGGAUGGACUGACCUCUGGUGUACCGGUUGGCGAUCAACGCCACGGCCGGGUAGCCAUGUCGGGACGGGAUAAACGCUGAAGGCAUCUAAGCGUGAAGCCCCCCUCAAGAUGAGAUAUCCCAUUCGAAAGAAGUAAGACCCAUGAAGACGACGAGGUUGAUAGGGCAGGGGUGGAAGUGCUGUAAGGCAUGGAGCUGACUGCUACUAAUCGGUCGAGGGCUUGACC